GACGAACGCUGGCGGCGUGCUUAACACAUGCAAGUUGAACGGGCAUACAUGGAAGCUUGCUGAAGUGUAUGUUAGUAGCGGACGGGUGAGUAAUGCAUGAGAAGCUGCCAUUGGGAGGGGGACAACAGUUGGAAACGGCUGCUAAUACCCCGUAUGCCGAAAGGUAAAAGGGAGCAAUCCGCCUGAUGAGGUGCUCAUGUCCUAUCAGCUGGUUGGUGGGGUAACGGCCUACCAAGGCGACGACGGGUAGCCGGCCUGAGAGGGUGAACGGCCACACUGGAACUGAGAUACGGUCCAGACUCCUACGGGAGGCAGCAGUCGAGAAUAGUCUACAAUGGCCGAAAGGCUGAUAGUGCGACGCCGCGUGAACGAAGAAGCCCUUCGGGUGUAAGUUCUUUAUUAUGUGAGCAGUGCUUUCUAUGUGAACAGCAUGGGGAGAGAGAUAUUAGCAUAUGAAUAAGCAACGGCUAACUCCGUG
rnacentral:rRNA from 1 species